GACGAACGCUGGCGGCGUGCUUAACACAUGCAAGUCGAACGGAAAGGCCCUGCUUUUGUGGGGUGCUCGAGUGGCGAACGGGUGAGUAACACGUGAGUAACCUGCCCUUGACUUUGGGAUAACUUCAGGAAACUGGGGCUAAUACCGGAUAGGAGCUCCUGCUACAUGGUGGGGGUUGGAAAGUUUCGGCGGUUGGGGAUGGACUCGCGGCUUAUCAGCUUGUUGGUGGGGUAGUGGCUUACCAAGGCUUUGACGGGUAGCCGGCCUGAGAGGGUGACCGGCCACAUUGGGACUGAGAUACGGCCCAGACUCCUACGGGAGGCAGCAGGGGGGAAUAUUGAACAAUGGGCGGAAGCCUGAUGCAGCAACGCCGCGUGCGGGAUGACGGCCUUCGGGUUGUAAACCGCUUUCGCCUGUGACGAAGCGUGAGUGACGGUAAUGGGUAAAGAAGCACCGGCUAACUACG
rnacentral:rRNA from 1 species